UUCUAGGUGAACCUGCGGAAGGAUCAUUA
rnacentral:rRNA from 1 species